AGUGAACGCUGGCGGUAGGCCUAACACAUGCAAGUCGAACGGCAGCACAGUAAGAGCUUGCUCUUACGGGUGGCGAGUGGCGGACGGGUGAGGAAUACAUCGGAAUCUACUUUUUCGUGGGGGAUAACGUAGGGAAACUUACGCUAAUACCGCAUACGACCUACGGGUGAAAGCAGGGGAUCUUGGGACCUUGCGCGUUUGAUUGAGCCGAUGCCGGAUUAGCUAGUUGGCGGGGUAAAGGCCCACCAAGGCGACGAUCCGUAGCUGGUCUGAGAGGAUGAUCAGCCACACUGGAACUGAGACACGGUCCAGACUCCUACGGGAGGCAGCAGUGGGGAAUAUUGGACAAUGGGCGCAAGCCUGAUCCAGCCAUACCGCGUGGGUGAAGAAGGCCUUCGGGUUGUAAAGCCCUUUUGUUGGGAAAGAAAAGCAGCAGGUUAAUACCCGGCUGUUCUGACGGUACCCAAGGAAUAAGCACCGGCUAACUUCGUG
rnacentral:rRNA from 1 species